CAUCAGUACAUAGAGGCUGUGGAUCGGGGGCUUCUCUGGAGGGAAAGGGUAGCACAUAAGCCAAGGGAUGUUGACAAGGAGUCAACAGUCAGGGAAGAGAAGAGACGUACAAUCCGAAACUGGGAUGGGAAUCUUCUAACUACGUCCAUCCAUCUAGUCAUGCGUCACAGUUUCACCAAGAUGACAAUGUACCAGGAGGUGAAUGAGGCUCAGAGGACACAAGAGCAAAUAUGGCAGUGCAUUUGUUGGAGCCAUGGGGCUGUGUUGUGGUAACAUGCAUCAUUAAUAACAAGCUGCAACCAGGUGAUCCAGAGCAAGGUUAGGCAUGAAAAUGCCCAGCUUCGGGGGCUGCAUUCAUCCUUCCUAAUACAUGACGAGCACCAUGGAAGAUAAUGGACUGUAUGAAGCUGAGCAGCCCCAAAGAAGAGAAGUACCUCCAAAAUAUGAGUUGUUUAUGGACACUGAAUAGGAUACCAAUUAAGAGCUUGGGUUUAGGAGCCAGACUGCUGUGAUCCAUCCUGGAUCUUGCACUUACUACCUGUGUAAUCUUGGGAAAUAAAAACCUUUCUGCACCUCAGUUUCCUAUCUAUAAAAUGGGUAUAGUAGCAGUACCUGCUGCAUAGGAUUGUUUAUUAAAAUAGACAACCAAGUAAAAUACUCCGCCAAGUGCCUGAUAUACAGUGCC
ensembl:lncRNA